GUUAGUCUGGGGCAGAUCAGAGUAUCUGGUGGGUUAGUGUUAGUCUGGGGCAGAUCAGAGUAUCUGGUGGGUUAGUGUUAGUCUGGGGCAGGUCAGAGUAUCUGGUGGGUUAGUGUUAGUCUGGGGCAGAUCAGAGUAUCUGGUGGGUUAGUGUUAGUCUGGGGCAGAUCAGAGUAUCUGGUGGGUUAGUGUUAGUCUGGGGCAGAUCAGAGUAUCUGGUGGGUUAGUGUUAGUCUGGGGCAGAUCAGAGUAUCUGGUGGGUUAGUAGUCGGGAUUGAAGUCUCCUUCGGGUGACGCACAGCACCAGCAAUAAAGCCAAUGUUUAUGCCAAUCAUAUUGAAUCACAGUGGCUUUGCUCAAAAGACAGUGAUGACUGGACUACAUGUUGGUUUGACACACAGCAAGAUUCUGUUGGCUGUGAUUUCCUCCAGCAUGUGUGUUAGCUAGCAGACUGGCGCUGGUGUAUUUGCAGCCCCCUGCUCUGUGUUCUCUCUCGCUCUCUGCUGUCUGACAAACUCUGGUCUGUUCUGCCCUCCUUCACUCCCUCCACUAUUAAUCGGUUCCUUCUCCCUAAAACCUCCCUGUUUCCUUCCUUUCUCUAACACUUCCUUUGUUAGGGAGGGCAGUGAGCCUGGAGCCCACAUCCCACCACUCUGUCAUUAUUAUAAUAUAUCAAAAGCAAAGCCUCAUUUUAUAUUUAUAUUUAGAGAAUAAAUGUCCGCUCAGCAUCCUUAUAAAGUGCCAAAGCAGUGGUGAUAUCGAAGCUAAUCUUUUGUGAGGGGAGUAGAGAAACCAACUGUGCAUUCAUCAAUUCCUAAUGCUUGCUUAUAUAUAUGCCAUUUGGAUGACAUGUUGGAAGACACACUAUGAGUCGGACAACAAGAUUGGGUUUUCUGUGAUUUAGCUGAUUGGAGUUUCUGUAUUUAAGUUGACGUUUUUGUUUCAAAUGUUGCUAGCCACCACCCAAAUAAAAUAGUUUCAAACCUAUUGACAGUUUCAAGGUGUGUGUGUGUGUGUGUGUCUGUGUGUGUGUGUGUGUGUGCGUGCGUGCAUGCGUGUGUGUGUGUGCGUGCUUUCCUAGUUGAAUGGUAACUCAAUAAAGCAUUGCCUUGGGAAACAUUUCACUCAUGCUGUCCCAUUCCUCCAUAACACAGGUUUCGACACAAGGUGUCGAAGCAAUUUGCCUGCUAUUUUCGGCCCUCACAGAGUACUAAAAAGUUCACUAAUCCACAGCCCCUCGGUCCCAAUGGACUUGAAAUUGUAACAACCAUAAUGACGUCCUCUCUCACCAGAAGUCUAUCACAAGUUACCUUAAUCCCUUACUGCUAGGGGAUGUAUAGGUUGUGCUGAAAUAGAGGUGCACUGAAUUGUUUGAAAUCCUGAAACCAGCUUUCAAUCAUUCAUAAUGCCUUCUUACAUGGAAUUCCAAUACUGCCAUGCAA